rnacentral:rRNA from 1 species
GAUGAACGCUGGCGGCGUGCUUAACACAUGCAAGUCGAACGAGAAGUGAAGACGGAAACCUUCGGGCGGAAGGCUUUAUUUCGAGUGGCGGACGGGUGAGUAACGCGUGGGUAACCUGCCUCAUACAGGGGGAUAACAGGUGGAAACGACUGUUAAUACCGCAUAAGACCACAGCACCGCAUGGUGCGGGGGUAAAAACUCCGGUGGUAUGAGAUGGACCCGCGUUCGAUUAGCCAGUUGGCGGGGUAACGGCCCACCAAAGCGACGAUCGAUAGCCGAUCUGAGAGGAUGACCGGCCACAUUGGGACUGAGACACGGCCCAAACUCCUACGGGAGGCAGCAGUGGGGAAUAUUGCACAAUGGGGGAAACCCUGAUGCAGCGACGCCGCGUGAGUGAAGAAGUAUUUCGGUAUGUAAAGCUCUAUCAGCAGGGAAGAAAAUGACGGUACCUGAGUAAGAAGCCCCGGCUAACUACGUG